UUAGGGCUUUGACUUCGAACUUCGUGAUUCGAAUAUAAUUCGAAUAGCAAAAAAAUAAAUCAAAAUUCGAACGAAUAUUAGGCAGCCCUUAAUAUUCGAACCUGUUAUGGGCAGGCCAAGAGGGAGAGACGUCGGAGAACCCAUGCAGUCUAUUCAUAAUAUUGUAAUGACCACAGAAGAGGCAGUGAAUGAAGUAUUGAUUAGACAGCGAUUUAUUAGAAACAUAAUAAACCGUUGGAACACGCAAGACCGGUAACCAUAGCAACGCCUGUAAACAAACCUCGCAAAGCCCAAUUCAGGGCUGAAUCCGAAUACUCAUAGUAUGCAUUUUGUAGUACGCCACAAAUAUAGCGCGUCCGAAUGCUCAGUGUGCAUUGUGUAGUACGGAAAACGUUUCCGAAUGCGUACUACCGCCACAGUAUACAACGGUAGGUCACUACGUUACCAGACUACGAGUCUGGUAACGGACGAAGAAGAGAUGGCUGACCCGACACUACCAACAGCGGCUUAGAAAGACGUCAUAGAAAGCGGCGAAAAAAAGAGACAUUAAAAAGAGUAAAAAAGUAAAGUAAGUAAUUAAGUAAAAAGAGACAUUUUUAAUUUAAUAGCAACGAUGACAAGACGGAAAACAGGUAACUUAUCAAGGUAAUUUUGCCGGCAUCUGAGGGGAGACACGUCAUCUCCAAACAUCCGGUGGAGUUACGGCGGUGUUCGGAAGAGUUCAGAGGCGUUCUAAGCAUAGCUGUAGACCGUUCUAGGCGUUCUACGCAUAGCUGUAGACCACACUGAACAUAAAUAGUAUGUACUAAGUAUUCGGAUUCAGCCCAGGUAUUACUGAAGGCAUUUAAUGGUCAAAAUAUUAUUAAUAAAUAUUCGAAUAUAUUCGAAUACUAAUAUUAAUAAACAAACGAACUUCGAAUAUGAUU